rnacentral:rRNA from 1 species
CCCUUAGAUGUUCUGGGCCGCACGCGCGCUACACUGACGAUGGCAACGAGUUUUUCCUUCGCCGAAAGGUGUGGGUAAUCUUUUGAAACAUCGUCGUGCUGGGGAUAGAUCAUUGCAAUUUUUGAUCUUGAACGAGGAAUUCCUAGUAAGCGCGAGUCAUCAGCUAGCGUUGAUUACGUCCCUGCCCUUUGUACACACCGCCCGUCGCUACUACCGAUUGAAUGGUUUAGUGAGGACUCCUGAUUGGCGCCGCCGCCCCGGCAACGGAGCAGCGGACUGCCGAAAAGUUGUUCAAACUUGAUCAUUUAGAGGAAGUAAAAGUCGUAACA